rnacentral:rRNA from 1 species
UUAAGCGACUAAGCGUACACGGUGGAUGCCCUGGCAGUCAGAGGCGAUGAAGGGCGUGCUAAUCUGCGAUAAGCGCCGGUAAGGUGAUAUGAACCGUUAUAACCGGCGAUACCCGAAUGGGGAAACCCAGUGUGAUUCGUCACACUAUCAUUAACUGAAUCCAUAGGUUAAUGAGGCGAACCGGGGGAACUGAAACAUCUAAGUACCCCGAGGAAAAGAAAUCAACCGAGAUUCCCCCAGUAGCGGCGAGCGAACGGGGAGGAGCCCAGAGCCUGAAUCAGCAUGUGUGUUAGUGGAAGCGUCUGGAAAGGCGCGCGAUACAGGGUGACAGCCCCGUACACAAAAGCGCAUGUGCUGUGAGCUCGAUGAGUAGGGCGGGACACGUGGUAUCCUGUCUGAAUAUGGGGGGACCAUCCUCCAAGGCUAAAUACUCCUGACUGACCGAUAGUGAACCAGUACCGUGAGGGAAAGGCGAAAAGAACCCCGGCGAGGGGAGUGAAAAAGAACCUGAAACCGUGUACGUACAAGCAGUGGGAGCUGAGGGAAAGGCGAAAAGAACCCCGGCGAGGGGAGUGAAAAAGAACCUGAAACCGUGUACGUACAAGCAGUGGGAGCCCCACCACUAAGCCAGUGGUGAACUCCACAUACGCAUCCUUUGCUGAGGAUACGGUUAACGGAGCGCAAGCGACGUUCAACCGCAAAAGAAGCAGAGGGGGCUUAGUGGUGGGGUGACUGCGUACCUUUUGUAUAAUGGGUCAGCGACUUAUAUUCUGUAGCAAGGUUAACCGUAUAGGGGAGCCGGAGGGAAACCGAGUCUUAAUUGGGCGUUAAGUUGCAGGGUAUAGACCCGAAACCCGGUGAUCUAGCCAUGGGCAGGUUNAGGGAAACCGAGUCUUAACCGGGCGUUAAGUUGCAGGGUAUAGACCCGAAACCCGGUGAUCUAGCCAUGGGCAGGUUGAAGGUUGGGUAACACUAACUGGAGGACCGAACCGACUAAUGUUGAAAAAUUAGCGGAUGACCUGUGGCUGGGGGUGAAAGGCCAAUCAAACCGGGAGAUAGCUGGUUCUCCCCGAAAGCUAUUUAGGUAGCGCCUCGUGAAUUCAUCUCCGGGGGUAGAGCACUGUUUCGGCUAGGGGGCCAUCCCGGCUUACCAACCCGAUGCAAACUGCGAAUACCGGAGAAUGUUAUCACGGGAGACACACGGCGGGUGCUAACGUCCGUCGUGAAGAGGGAAACAACCCAGACCGCCAGCUAAGGUCCCAAAGUCAUGGUUAAGUGGGAAACGAUGUGGGAAGGCCCAGACAGCCAGGAUGUUGGCUUAGAAGCAGCCAUCAUUUAAAGAAAGCGUAAUAGCUCACUGGUCGAGUCGGCCUGCGCGGAAGAUGUAACGGGGCUAAACCAUGCACCGAAGCUGCGGCAGCGAGUAAUAGCUCACUGGUCGAGUCGGCCUGCGCGGAAGAUGUAACGGGGCUAAACCAUGCACCGAAGCUGCGGCAGCGAACGUAUCACUUAAAGCGAUUCAGCGGGUUACGAUUGACGGAGCGAAGCGACGUCAAAGCGUAUACAAAGUCGAGUCGGUUUAAGGAUACGUUCGUUGGGUAGGGGAGCGUUCUGUAAGCCUGUGAAGGUGUGUCGUGAGGCAUGCUGGAGGUAUCAGAAGUGCGAAUGCUGUUGGGUAGGGGAGCGUUCUGUAAGCCUGUGAAGGUGGCCUGUGAGGGUUGCUGGAGGUAUCAGAAGUGCGAAUGCUGACAUAAGUAACGAUAAAGCGGGUGAAAAGCCCGCUCGCCGGAAGACCAAGGGUUCCUGUCCAACGUUAAUCGGGGCAGGGUGAGUCGACCCCUAAGGCGAGGCCGAAAGGCGUAGUCGAUGGGAAACGGGUUAAUAUUCCCGUACUUGGUGUUACUGCGAAGGGGGGACGGAGAAGGCUAUGUUGGCCGGGCGACGGUUGUCCCGGUUUAAGCGUGUAGGUGUGUGUUCCAGGUAAAUCCGGUUCACUUUAACACUGAGGCGUGAUGACGAGGCACUACGGUGCUGAAGCAACAAAUGCCCUGCUUCCAGGAAAAGCCUCUAAGCAUCAGGUAACAUCAAAUCGUACCCCAAACCGACACAGGUGGUCAGGUAGAGAAUACCAAGGCGCUUGAGAGAACUCGGGUGAAGGAACUAGGCAAAAUGGUGCCGUAACUUCGGGAGAAGGCACGCUGACAUGUAGGUGAAGUGAUUUACUCAUGGAGCUGAAGUCAGUCGAAGAUACCAGCUGGCUGCAACUGUUUAUUAAAAACACAGCACUGUGCAAACACGAAAGUGGACGUAUACGGUGUGACGCCUGCCCGGUGCCGGAAGGUUAAUUGAUGGGGUCAGCGCAAGCGAAGCUCCUGAUCGAAGCCCCGGUAAACGGCGGCCGUAACUAUAACGGUCCUAAGGUAGCGAAAUUCCUUGUCGGGUAAGUUCCGACCUGCACGAAUGGCGUAAUGAUGGCCAGGCUGUCUCCACCCGAGACUCAGUGAAAUUGAACUCGCUGUGAAGAUGCAGUGUACCCGCGGCAAGACGGAAAGACCCCGUGAACCUUUACUAUAGCUUGACACUGAACAUUGAGCCUUGAUGUGUAGGAUAGGUGGGAGGCUUUGAAGUGUGGACGCCAGUCUGCAUGGAGCCGACCUUGAAAUACCACCCUUUAAUGUUUGAUGUUCUAACGUGGACCCGUGAUCCGGGUUGCGGACAGUGUCUGGUGGGUAGUUUGACUGGGGCGGUCUCCUCCUAAAGAGUAACGGAGGAGCACGAAGGUUGGCUAAUCCUGGUCGGACAUCAGGAGGUUAGUGCAAUGGCAUAAGCCAGCUUGACUGCGAGCGUGACGGCGCGAGCAGGUGCGAAAGCAGGUCAUAGUGAUCCGGUGGUUCUGAAUGGAAGGGCCAUCGCUCAACGGAUAAAAGGUACUCCGGGGAUAACAGGCUGAUACCGCCCAAGAGUUCAUAUCGACGGCGGUGUUUGGCACCUCGAUGUCGGCUCAUCACAUCCUGGGGCUGAAGUAGGUCCCAAGGGUAUGGCUGUUCGCCAUUUAAAGUGGUACGCGAGCUGGGUUUAGAACGUCGUGAGACAGUUCGGUCCCUAUCUGCCGUGGGCGCUGGAGAACUGAGGGGGGCUGCUCCUAGUACGAGAGGACCGGAGUGGACGCAUCACUGGUGUUCGGGUUGUCAUGCCAAUGGCACUGCCCGGUAGCUAAAUGCGGAAGAGAUAAGUGCUGAAAGCAUCUAAGCACGAAACUUGCCCCGAGAUGAGUUCUCCCUGAGACUUAAAGUCUCCUGAAGGAACGUUGAAGACGACGACGUUGAUAGGCCGGGUGUGUAAGCGCAGCGAUGCGUUGAGCUAACCGGUACUAAUGAACCGUGAGGCUUAACCUU